rnacentral:rRNA from 1 species
AAAUUGAAGAGUUUGAUCAUGGCUCAGAUUGAACGCUGGCGGCAGGCCUAACACAUGCAAGUCGAGCGGAAACGAGUUAUCUGAACCUUCGGGGGACGAUAACGGCGUCGAGCGGCGGACGGGUGAGUAAUGCCUAGGAAAUUGCCCUGAUGUGGGGGAUAACCAUUGGAAACGAUGGCUAAUACCGCAUGAUGCCUACGGGCCAAAGAGGGGGACCUUCGGGCCUCUCGCGUCAGGAUAUGCCUAGGUGGGAUUAGCUAGUUGGUGAGGUAAGGGCUCACCAAGGCGACGAUCCCUAGCUGGUCUGAGAGGA